UACUGCUAUGCCCCAUGCCUGGCUCAUGGUUACUGCUAUGCCCCAUGCCUGGCUCAGUGGUUACUGCUAUGCCCCAUGCCUGGCCCAUGGUUACUGCUAUGCCCCAUGCCUGGCUCAGUGGUUACUGCUAUGCCCCAUGCCUGGCUCAUGGUUACUGCUAUGCCCCAUGCCUGGCUCAGUGGUUACUGCUAUGCCCCAUGCCUGUCUGGGUGGUUACUGCCAAGAAGCAGAGAUUCAAGCAUCAAACUGUUGAGUACAUCUUUGCCACAUACCCAUGGACAGGCUGCUUGGGUUUGGUGUCAAGCAGGAAGAGCUGAUGGACAUCUAGGCCAGCAAGCCAUACCCUGGGCUGCACCACCAGGGGAAAAGGGUGACAAGAACACAGACUGAGCUCUGGAGGUGCCAGGUAAUGAGAGCAGCAGGCACAGACGGACACAGAGGGGCCAGCAUCUUCAAGCCAAGUGUUCCAGAGCAAUAAGAGGUAACUCAUCAAGCCAAGCCUCUGUCACCAGCUGCUUGCUUGUGGACAACUCCUGUGUCAGGGUGGAGAAGCUGUGUCCCCUCCCUGCAGGCAGCAGCACCGACACAAAGCAGCAGCUGCAAGCAUUGGCCCUCUGCGGAGCCCUUCCAGCCCUGGAUGUGGGAGGUGCUGUCAAAUCAAUCAGUCCCACUGGAAGCAUCAGGAAGCCUUUUAUAAGUGCAUGUGCUGAGGGGGAGGACGUUUCUCUCCCUGGAGGAUUGCUGACAGGCAGAUAAAAACCACACUAAAGAAGGCAGCCAAGUGGGGAGUGCCAUGGAGGUGAGCUCCUGCUCCUGCUGAGGCCUCUCAGUUCUCCACUCACCUGAGGAUUCUCCUGCUACCACGGCAAAGAGAGCCAAGCCCUUGGCAUCCAAUCCACUUUUCACCAGGGAUGGACUGGGAGAGGCCUAAAAUCCUGCAGCUGCCUGCAAAAUACUUUCAUGCUGAGCUCCUUUGCAUCAGCCAAGCUCUACCCUUCCAGCACAGCUUGGAAUCAUCCAGCACAGCUUGCAAUCAGAGCACUCCUCUGGUGGGAAAAGAUCUCUAAGGUCACUCACUCCAAUCAUUCUCCAACCCUGCCAAGGCCGGGGCUAACCCAUGGCCCUCAGCAACACAGCUCUGCAGCUUUAAAGCCCCUCCAGGGAUGGGGACUCAACCACCUCCCUGGGCAGCCUGCUCCUGGCUUUGAGAACCCAGCUGGUCCUUCCUUAGUCCUGGGGACCUCCAGCAAGGCCACCUGCAGGGCUGAAGCAGGGCCCCAGAACAGCAAUCAUCUCUCUCUGCCUCUCUGCUACGCCACUGCACUGUCUCUGCAGUAAAAUCCAUCUUUGCUUUCUGAGCAUCUUUGCCCCUUGAGUAUUUCCCUUCCCAUCCCUGCUGCUCCUCCCUUUUCCAAGCCCCCCUCAGAAAGCUCUGUGUUUCUUGCCAUAAAGCUCCACUGUCUGGAAAAUGGAU